rnacentral:lncRNA from 1 species
CCAAAACCAAGUUUUAUUAAAAGAUCAAACAACUAGCUCAGAAUGAUUGCCUGAGAAAAUGAGGGUUACAGGGGCUUUUCUGUUCAUUACCCGAGCAAUGAUUCUUUCAUCCAGAGCGGAGGCUGUUAUGAGUGUUGGAGGGGCCUCCAGCGAACAGCCGAUCUGAGCUGCAAGAUUCUCAUCAAGCAGAUUGUCCUGGGCUCUGGAGUCAUCCAGAGAUCUAAAAGAGAAAACCCCACUCACAACACAUAGUGAAGGUGAUAGAUGGAGUCGAUUUAACAGCUGGGCCUUGGCCCGUAGAACCCCAACCAUUACUGACGGGCCCGGUCUUUUGGCCGCAGUGUCCACGCCGAAACAAAAUGUCCAAGUUGACCAGAAUACAGACACUCACCUGCUUGAAUCCUGUGGAAACGCUCAUAAGGUGUUAAUCUGACAUGUCCCAGCUGCUUUGGCUCUUGCUCCGCACGUUGAGCGAAAGAGGGUGAGGUGCCGCAUAACUGGGCGAGUGUGGUUCAUGUAUGCUGUGGCAUGGGGGACACCGGGGAGGAAGCAGAGGUGUGGAUGGCUCACUCCCGACAUCUUAAAUGGUUAUCCAAGGAGAUGGUUUCCUGACAGAGAUUCAAGAGAUGAGUGGCCACAUUACCAGAACGGUCAGGGUGAUCGGAAACCAUCUGGAAACUCUCUUCCGACUCCCCAUACAGCAAUGACCGGACCAGACCAGACCAACUGCCUCCGUCCAAGAUACGCCUUUCCAUGGAGUAAGUUGACAAGAUAAUUUACUUUGGAAACAUCUGCUGCAAGCAAGAAGGCUAUUGCUGGAAAAUCAAACUGCACUGGAGGAGAAAACAACAACACUUCUCCAGGUCACCCUAGAAGGGCUCGGGAUCACAGACACGAGCGUCUCACAGCGGAGCAGCCCCAGCCCCGCUGUUGGCAGAUUCUGGGUUAGGAAAAGCUGUGCCAGUGAUCAGGUGAGCGAAAGCUUACAAAAAAUCGAAAGUCUAAACACAAGAUUGAGUCGAGCUAAUUAGGUUUCUCAACAAACUGGCACCGAACCUGGGGAAGAGACCAGCUUUUAACUGGCAGAUGAUGAGCAGCAGCCACACAGGCAAGGCGGUGGGGAAAAAAAAGGGUCACGGCUCCGCCCAGCUUGGAAUAAUACAGACACACAUGUGGAGAUACCAAUAAGACACACAGGGGGCAGGGUAGAGACAGGGACCAAGAAGGAGCCCAAACAGAUUUACUGUGAGCAUGUGAAAACACCUUUUGGGCAUGAUGUACCUUUAGUUACUGAUGAAAAUAGAUCUAAACCACUCUGAGGAUUCAAUCAAACAGCUGUCAAUUAGGCAAUUUUGGUUGUAACAGACGUAAUAUAAAUAAAAAAGCAACUGAAUAAUAUCGG